UUGAUGCCAGUUGUAAAUUCAUUUUAUAUACAGAAAGUACAUAUAUAUCGUAGUUUUUGCAACACGGACCAGUUGAAUGCACCCUAGUUGCUUAUAUGGCACACAAUUGAUAAGAACGCAAGAAAUUCUCGGAUUCCAAUUGUAAUGCAUACCUCGGUUUUGUAUGUUUGUGUGUGUGUGUGCGUGCGCAAGAGUAAUCAUAAUAGCAAAUAAUUAGUAUUGAUUACAGCGCCUCGCCAUUGAUUGAUAACAGUAUGCAAAACAGAAAAUGCUAUAUUUGCUAGAACGUCAAUGUUUUAGUAAUUACCCUUUUAAUAGUACUUAAUUGGGAGACGACAUCCAAAUUGAGUACACAUACUUAGGCGGGGCACGUGCCCAAAGUGCGUACAUUUGGGGGUACAUUGUCCCUGGAUAUACAUUUGUACUGUACAUAUAUCCGUACGAUGGGGUCUGCGUGUGAUAGCAGCGGCUAAAAAUAAUCUAUACGCAUCAGAGGGGCCCAGCAUUGACGUUAGAGAUUGGAUUUGGAUUGGAUUGUAUUGGCACACGUACUGGCUGCAGUCCCUUCAAGGGCAGCGUUGAUAAAGGGUCCAUCACAGUGGUGCAAGGACGAUGAAACAUUCUCCAAACUCGACGUACUACAUUCCAUUGUAGCAUCAUGAAAGGCGUCUUAGAUUGCAACAACAAACAACAAGGACAGCACUUAAGAAUUAAUAAUGUAUAGUAGUGUAUACUUGUAAUUAAACGUAAACAGGCGAUAGUGGACCUAUAAACAAUA
rnacentral:sRNA from 1 species